rnacentral:lncRNA from 1 species
UUUUUUAGGGUGGAGUCGGAGAGUCUACAAAUAGACAGCCAACUCAAGCAACUCAAUAAAGCCAAGGAAUUCUAGCAACUCAAGAAUCAGCAGCAACUAAUACAAGCAGUGGCAAAGAAAGGGGAAACAUCACUAGAUUUGGCAGGGGUGCAUUUCCAAAUGCACCUCCAGCAACUAAUACAAGCACAACCAGUUGUAGAGGAAGGGGAAACAAUACUAGAUUUGGCAGGGGUGCAUUUCCAAAUGCACCUCCAGCAACUAAUACAAGCACAACCAGUUGUAGAGGAAGGGGAAACAAUACUAGAUUUGGCAGGGGUGCAUUUCCAAAUGCACCUCCAGCAACUGCUCCUAGAAAACUGACUGUUGGGGUUAAAAGAACAAGGGGAAGAGGUGCUGAAUCUGCACCACCAUCUGAUGGACACAACUGGAAUAAUUGUCAUUAAU